rnacentral:rRNA from 1 species
AGAACGAACGCUGGCGGCAUGCCUAAUACAUGCAAGUCGAACGAACACUUCGGUGUUAGUGGCGCACGGGUGCGUAACGCGUGGGAAUCUGCCCUUGGGUUCGGAAUAACAGUUGGAAACAACUGCUAAUACCGGAUGAUAUCGAAAGAUCAAAGAUUUAUCGCCCAGGGAUGAGCCCGCGUAGGAUUAGCUAGUUGGUGAGGUAAAGGCUCACCAAGGCGACGAUCCUUAGCUGGUCUGAGAGGAUGAUCAGCCACACUGGGACUGAGACACGGCCCAGACUCCUACGGGAGCAGCAGUAGGGAAUAUGGACAAUGGGCGCAAGCCUGAUCCAGCAAUGCCGCGUGAGUGAUGAAGGCCUUAGGGUUGUAAAGCUCUUUUACCCGAGAUGAUAAUGACAGUAUCGGAGAAUAAGCCCCGGACUAACUCCGCGCCAGCAGCCGC